GGAACAGGGGAAGCCCUUGGUAAGGCACAAAAAAUAUUUUUGUUAAAUUGUCAAAAACUUGGUCUUGACGCGUUAAAGGAAAUAUAGUUUUACAUUGCUUAAGAGUGAAAUGGGUGAUCACUUAAUAUAUACUAGGAUCUCUCUCAAUGCCAAAUUGUUUCAUGCUAGGUGUGUCUUGCAUCCAUGGAUGGAUGGUAUUCCGCAGUUCAAAUCAUUUCUAUCGAAAAAUGCCUCUGAGUGAACACAUUGAGGCCUAUAAAAUGAACGGCUCAAAUCAUUAAGUCAAAUGAAACUAUGAUGGUCAUUUUGCUUUGCUUCGCAUGAGAGAAUCCACGCCCCGUCCCAUUGAUAUAAUGGACACGAAUUCUAGUACAAUCAACCUGCAAACUUAAUUUGUCACACCAUAUAUAUAGUGGAACGAACCACCAAAAUUUGCCACAACACUAUGAAAGAUACACACUACCAAAGCACAUUAACAACAGCCAUUUCUCUGCAGGGCUAGGUACCACACACUGCACACGGAGACUAAACACACUUUGUUGUAGGCCCUGCAAUGUGUAUUGUGUGGCUUUCAGGCAUCCAGGACCAUUGAUACCGUAUUACAAAACAAUUUACCGUAGUCCCGCUGAGAGGCAUAAACCAGUGAGAGCCCCGGUGAAAACCCCCACGUGUACAGGUACAAUAUUCAAGUGAGCAACUUUGGAAAAGGAGUACUCCAACUCUUUUACCCUCUUCUCACACUUCACCUUUUUCGAUCUAUAUUUUCCGGGAAUUCCGGUGACCAUGUGGACUAGUGACAUUUCUCGAAGAACUCAUGCUCGCAUUUCUCAAAAGCUUACGGAAUUCCGAUAGACUUAUCUUACCGUCUUUGUCAAUAUCAGC